rnacentral:rRNA from 1 species
UACGGGAGGCAGCAGUAGGGAAUCUUCCGCAAUGGACGAAAGUCUGACGGAGCAACGCCGCGUGAACGAUGAAGGCUUUCGGGUCGUAAAGUUCUGUUGUUAGGGAAGAACAAGUACCAGAGUAACUGCUGGUACCUUGACGGUACCUAACCAGAAAGCCACGGCUAACUACGUGCCAGCAGCCGCGGUAAUACGUAGGUGGCAAGCGUUGUCCGGAAUUAUUGGGCGUAAAGCGCGCGCAGGUGGUCCUUUAAGUCUGAUGUGAAAGCCCACGGCUCAACCGUGGAGGGUCAUUGGAAACUGGGGACUUGAGUGCAGAAGAGGAAAGUGGAAUUCCACGUGUAGCGGUGAAAUGCGUAGAGAUGUGGAGGAACACCAGUGGCGAAGGCGACUUUUCUGGUCUGUAACUGACACUGAGGCGCGAAAGCGUGGGGAGCGAACAGGAUUAGAUACC